CCAUUUUAUUAUGUUUUUACUAAGAUUUUAUGAUGUUGCAUGUAUAUACUUUUACUUCUGCUGUUGAUAAAAGUGCCUAUAUACUUCGAUAUCUAACGUCUUUUGGAAAUCCAAGCUCAUAGUUAAGUUAAAACUUACAAUGACCCGGACCAGAAGAUCUAAUUUGAAUCCCCAAAUGUAGAAAAAAAACACAAGAAAAAUAAAAGAAGGGUUCUAAAUAAGAGUUAAAUGAAACUGCAUACAAUUUUCAUAAAGAAGAAACCAAAACCCAUUAAACGACGUCGACGACGCAUUUUCCAUGCGUGCAUCAGUGCAUGUGUAAUCUGGAUCAAUCGACACAUCGUCUCACUAUCAUACAUUACAUGUCUAGAUACGUAGUGUCGAAGGAAGAAAGAGGAGGAUGGUAGAUGGCUAAGUGAAUAAGCAUUACCAUCAGCACCACCGGAAUUCCCAUCAAAAUCAUCGGCGGAGGUGGAAGCGGCGGAAGAACGGCUGGAAGCACCGUCAAAAGUACUAUCACCACUCCGACCAUAAACAUUCCGAUAACCUAAAAAUUAUGUGAAGCUUCUUUACUUCCCACAAAAUUUUGGCUUUCAACGUUACUCCACAUAUGUUUGUGUGUAUAAAUAUAUAUAUAUGUC
rnacentral:lncRNA from 1 species